rnacentral:tRNA from 1 species
ACCCCCGUGGUGUAGCCAGGGAGCAUGCGGGAUUUUGGAUCCCGUGACCCGGGUUCAAAUCCCGGCGGGGGUACCA